rnacentral:tRNA from 1 species
GGGCUUGUAGCUCAGGUGGUUAGAGCGCACGCCUGAUAAGCGUGAGGUCGGAGGUUCAAGUCCUCCCAGGCCCA